CUCAAAACAGAAAUCACUUCAUUAACAUUUCUAUAAUUCUGUCAGGUAGCAAUACUGUGAAGGCUAAAUGAUUCUUUAAGGCAGCAAUACUGUGAAGGCUAAACGAUUCUUUAAGGUAGCAAUACUGUGAAGGCUAAACGAUUCUUUAAGGCAGCAAUACUGUGAAGGCUAAACGAUUCUUUAAGGCAGCAAUACUGUGAAGGCUAAACGAUUCUUUAAGGCAGCAAUACUGUGAAGGCUAAACGAUUCUUUAAGGCAGCAAUACUGUGAAGGCUAAACGAUUCUUUAAUAAGGCAGCAAUACUGUGAAGGCUAAACGAUUCUUUAAGGCAGCAAUACUGUGAAGGCUAAACGAUUCUUUAAGGCAGCAAUACUGUGAAGGCUAAACAAUUAACAGUAUAUAACGGCAAGUUGUUCUAGUGAAGA